UUUCCAUAGGUGAGCCUGCGGAAGGAUCAUUCAUAAUAAAGUGUUUUAUGGCACUUUUUAAAAAUCCAUAUCCACCUUGUGUGCAAUGUUAGAUCUCGUCAAUCUUGGCGAGAUUUUUAUACAUCAACUCAUUUUUUAACUAAUUUGUCUGAAAAAUAUUAUGAAUACUUAAUUCAAAAUACAACUUUCAACAACGGAUCUCUUGGCUCUC
rnacentral:misc_RNA from 1 species